GCGCCAGUCGUCUAAUGGUGAGGACGCAAGGUUUUCAACCUUGUAAUGUCGGUUCGACUCCGUCCUGGCGCACCA
rnacentral:tRNA from 1 species